rnacentral:rRNA from 1 species
AUGGCGCGAACUACUAGAGAUUUGAAGAUCUGGAGCUCCUCCCUCUUCAGCGACGCCAAGCUACAAUUCCACAUAGCAAUAGAGAUUAUCCUGCGCCUCGAUGUAGCCCAAGAAUCCCGCAACCUCUCCACGCCUGAGUUCAAUCUCUGGGGGCUCUUUAAGAAGAGAUUGCUCGGCCUCGCUGCGAUCGAGCACGCGCGCAAACGUCAAGCAUCCCGGCUGACCUGGCUCAAGCUGGGCGACGCGGGAACUAAAUUUUUCCAUGCAAAGAUUCGCUCGCGCCGAAGGAAAAACUUCAUCCACAGCCUGCAGACGAGCAACGGGAUUGCCACUUCACACGAGGACAAGGCGGCAGCCAUCUUCGAGCAUUUCAACUCCGUCCUCGGUUCCAAAGGAGCACACCCAAGAACCAUUGACUGGAGCCAGCUCCAGCUGCCCACAAUCACAGGGGGCGGCCUGGACAACCCCUUCUCCGAAGACGAGGUCUGGAAGGUGAUCAAGGCCUUGCCGGCAGAAAAAGCUCCAGGCCAGACGACUUCAUAG